AGAGUUUGAUCCUGGCUCAGAUUGAACGCUGGCGGAAUGCUUUACACAUGCAAGUCGAACGGCAGCACGGGAGCUUGCUCCUGGUGGCGAGUGGCGAACGGGUGAGUAAUACCUAGGAACAUGUCCAGUAGUGGGGGAUAACGCAGCGAARGSUGUGSUAAUACCGCAUACGCCCUGAGGGGGAAAGCGGGGGAUUCGAAAGAACCUCGCGUUAUAGGAGUGGCCUACGGCUGAUUAGCUAGUUGGUGAGGUAAAGGCUCACCAAGGCGACGAUCAGUAGCUGGUCUGAGAGGAUGAUCAGCCACACUGGAACUGAGACACGGUCCAGACUCCUACGGGAGGCAGCAGUGGGGAAUUUUGGACAAUGGGGGCAACCCUGAUCCAGCCAUUCCGCGUGAGUGAAGAGGGCCUUCGGGUUGUAAAGCUCUUUCAGGAGGGAAGAAACGGUUUUGGAUAAUACCUGAGACUAAUGACGGUACCUUCAGAAGAAGCACCGGCUAACUACGUGCCAGCAGCCGCGGUAAUAC
rnacentral:rRNA from 1 species